rnacentral:rRNA from 1 species
UACGAAUGUGGCAAGCGUUGUUCGGAAUCACUGGGCGUAAAGAAUGCGUAGGCGGCUUGACAAGUCAGAAGUGAAAUCCCAGGGCUCAACCCUGGAACUGCUUUUGAAACUGUUGGGCUAGUGUCCCGGAGGGGUUGAUGGAAUUCCGAGUGUAGAGGUGAAAUUCGCAGAUAUUCGGAGGAACACCAGUGGCGAAAGCGAUCAACUGGACGGGUACAGACGCUGAGGCAUGAAAGUGUGGGGAUCAAACAGGAUUAGAUACCCUGGUAGUCCACACCGUAAACGAUGUGUGCUAGUUCUUGGGCAGCUUAGCUGUUCGGGGACGGAGCUAACGUUUUAAGCACACCGCCUGGGAAGUACGGCCGCAAGGUUAAA